rnacentral:rRNA from 1 species
GUUCGGGUUGUCAUGCCAAUGGCACUGCCCGGUAGCUAAAUGCGGAAGAGAUAAGUGCUGAAAGCAUCUAAGCACGAAACUUGCCCCGAGAUGAGUUCUCCCUGACUCCUUGAGAGUCCUGAAGGAACGUUGAAGACGACGACGUUGAUAGGCCGGGUGUGUAAGCGCAGCGAUGCGUUGAGCUAACCGGUACUAAUGAACCGUGAGGCUUAACCUU